UACGUAGGGUGCAAGCGUUGUCCGGAAUUAUUGGGCGUAAAGAGCUCGUAGGCGGUUCGUCGCGUCGGCUGUGAAAACCCGGAGCUCAACUCCGGGCCUGCAGUCGAUACGGGCGGACUCGAGUUCGGCAGGGGAGACUGGAAUUCCUGGUGUAGCGGUGAAAUGCGCAGAUAUCAGGAGGAACACCGGUGGCGAAGGCGGGUCUCUGGACCAGCACUGACACUGAGGCACGAAAGCGUGGGGAGCAAACAGG
rnacentral:rRNA from 1 species